rnacentral:rRNA from 1 species
GGGAGUUUACUCAUGAGGUGGCGAGCGGCGGACGGGUGAGUAAUGCCUAGGGAUCUGCCCAGUCGAGGGGGAUAACAGUUGGAAACGACUGCUAAUACCGCAUACGCCCUACGGGGGAAAGAGGGGGACCUUCGGGCCUCUCGCGAUUGGAUGAACCUAGGUGGGAUUAGCUAGUUGGUGAGGUAAUGGCUCACCAAGGCGACGAUCCCUAGCUGUUCUGAGAGGAUGAUCAGCCACACUGGGACUGAGACACGGCCCAGACUCCUACGGGAGGCAGCAGUGGGGAAUAUUGCACAAUGGGGGAAACCCUGAUGCAGCCAUGCCGCGUGUGUGAAGAAGGCCUUCGGGUUGUAAAGCACUUUCAGUAGGGAGGAAAGGGUGAGUCUUAAUACGGCUCAUCUGUGACGUUACCUACAGAAGAAGGACCGGCUAACUCCGUGCCAGCAGCCGCGGUAAUACGGAGGGUCCGAGCGUUAAUCGGAAUUACUGGGCGUAAAGCGUGCGCAGGCGGUUUGUUAAGCGAGAUGUGAAAGCCCUGGGCUCAACCUAGGAAUAGCAUUUCGAACUGGCGAACUAGAGUCUUGUAGAGGGGGGUA